rnacentral:rRNA from 1 species
UACGAAGGGGGAGCUAGCGUUGCUCGGAAUCACUGGGCGUAAAGCGCACGUAGGCGGCUUUCUAAGUCAGGGGUGAAAUCCUGGAGCUCAACUCCAGAACUGCCCUUUGAUACUGGAGAGCUCGAGUCCGGAAGAGGUGAGUGGGAACUGCGAGUGUAGAGGUGAAAUUCGUAGAUAUUCGCAAGAACACCAGUGGCGAAGGCGGCUCACUGGUCCGGUACUGACGCUGAGGUGCGAAAGCGUGGGGAGCAACAGGG